rnacentral:rRNA from 1 species
GUGGACGCCAGUCUGCGUGGAGCCGACCUUGAAAUACCACCCUUUAAUGUUUGAUGUUCUAACGUGGACCCGUAAUCCGGGUUGCGGACAGUGUCUGGUGGGUAGUUUGACUGGGGCGGUCUCCUCCUAAAGAGUAACGGAGGAGCACGAAGGUUGGCUAAUCCUGGUCGGACAUCAGGAGGUUAGUGCAAUGGCAUAAGCCAGCUUGACUGCGAGCGUGACGGCGCGAGCAGGUGCGAAAGCAGGUCAUAGUGAUCCGGUGGUUCUGAAUGGAAGGGCCAUCGCUCAACGGAUAAAAGGUACUCCGGGGAUAACAGGCUGAUACCGCCCAAGAGUUCAUAUCGACGGCGGUGUUUGGCACCUCGAUGUCGGCUCAUCACAUCCUGGGGCUGAAGUAGGUCCCAAGGGUAUGGCUGUUCGCCAUUUAAAGUGGUACGCGAGCUGGGUUUAGAACGUCGUGAGACAGUUCGGUCCCUAUCUGCCGUGGGCGCUGGAGAACUGAGGGGGGCUGCUCCUAGUACGAGAGGACCGGAGUGGACGCAUCACUGGUGUUCGGGUUGUCAUGCCAAUGGCACUGCCCGGUAGCUAAAUGCGGAAGAGAUAAGUGCUGAAAGCAUCUAAGCACGAAACUUGCCCCGAGAUGAGUUCUCCCUGAGACUUAG